rnacentral:rRNA from 1 species
GAGUUUGAUCAUGGCUCAGGAUGAACGCUAGCGGCAGGCUUAAUACAUGCAAGUCGUGGGGCAGCGCAGUGUAGCAAUACAUGGGCGGCGACCGGCAAACGGGGUGCGGAACACGUACGCAACCUUCCUUCAAGUGGGGGAAUAGCCCAGGGAAACUUGGAUUAAUACCCCGUAAUAUUAUGAGGCGGCAUCACCUUAUAAUUAUAGCUCCGGCGCUUGAAGAUGGGCGUGCGCCUGAUUAGGUAGUUGGCGGGGUAACGGCCCACCAAGCCUUCGAUCAGUAACUGGUGUGAGAGCACGACCAGUCACACGGGCACUGAGACACGGGCCCGACUCCUACGGGAGGCAGCAGUAAGGAAUAUUGGUCAAUGGACGCAAGUCUGAACCAGCCAUGCCGCGUGGAGGAUGAAGGUCCUCUGGAUUGUAAACUUCUUUUAUCUGGGAAGAACCGGA